GGUUGUGGCUCAGUGGUUGAGUGCUUGCCUAGCAUGUGUGAGGCACUGGGUUCAAUCCUCAGCACCA
rnacentral:tRNA from 1 species